GGUUACUGCUAUCGGGGUCCGACUAAGCCAUGCGAGUUGAGAGGGGUAAGCCCUCGGCAUACUGCUCAGUGACACGCGGAUAACCUGCCCUUGGGUCCGGGAUAACCCCGGGAAACUGGGACUAAUACCGGAUAGAUCAGGGAAACUGGAAUGUUCUCUGGUUCAAAACUCCGGUGCCCAAGGAUGGGUCUGCGGCCUAUCAGGUAGUAGUGGGUGUAACGUACCUACUAGCCAGCGACGGGUAAGGGUUGUGAGAGCAAGAUCCCUGAGAUGGAUUCUGAGACAUGAAUCCAGGCCCUACGGGGUGCAGCAGGCGCGAAAACUUUACACUGCGGGAAACCGCGAUAAGGGGACCCCGAGUGCCAGCACCUAGUGCUGGCUGUCCUACUGUCUAAAUAACAGUGGUUAGCAAGGGCCGGGCAAGACCGGUGCCAGCCGCCGCGGUAACACCGGCGGCCCGAGUGGUAACCGUUUUUAUUGGGUUUAAAGGGUCCGUAGCCGGCUUACUAAGUCUCUUGGGAAAUCUGGCGGCUCAAUCGUCAGGCGGCCAAGAGAUACUGGUAGGCUUGGGACCGGGAGAGGUGGGAGGUACUCCAGGGGUAGGGGUGAAAUCUCGUAAUCCUUGGGGGACCACCGAUGGCGAAGGCAUCCCACCAGAACGGGUCCGACGGUGAGGGACGAAAGCUGGGGGCAUGAACCGGAUUAGAUACCCGGGUAGUCCCAGCUGUAAACGAUGCUCGCUAGGUGUCAGGUGCGGUGCGACCGCAUCUGGUGCCGCAGUGAAAACUUGAAGCGAGUCACCCGGGAAGUACGGUCGCAAGGCUGAAACUUAAAGGAAUUGGCGGGGGAGCACUACAACGGGUGGAGCCUGCGGUUC
rnacentral:rRNA from 1 species